AGUUGAUAAUGCAGGAAACAGUUUGGUAGAAAGAUUUAUAAUUUCGGAAGAUCAAAUUGGGAAAAUUGUUUGUAUGUUGGUACAGAAGGGUUUGAUGAGGUUUGAAGAUAAAAGGAUGUUAUAUAUAUUACUGGACGAUCCAAAAGGCCCCUCUCAGUGAAGCUCAUGUGAUUUUUUUUUUUGGGCAAAGAGCAUGUCUGCUUUAGCCAAUGGGAAUGUCUGCUUAAAGAAUUGAACCAAUAUAAAGUGUUCCAGCUAUAAAGGUUACAUGGAAUAACAUGUUUUCCUAUGGGGAGCAUUCAUGGAUUUCUGAAAGGAUAUAGCAGAAAAGUGGUACAAUGACC
rnacentral:misc_RNA from 1 species